CCUACGGGAGGCAGCAGUGGGGAAUCUUAGACAAUGGGCGCAAGCCUGAUCUAGCCAUGCCGCGUGAGUGACGAAGGCCCUAGGGUCGUAAAGCUCUUUCGCCUGUGAUGAUAAUGACAGUAGCAGGUAAAGAAACCCCGGCUAACUCCGUGCCAGCAGCCGCGGUAAUACGGAGGGGGUUAGCGUUGUUCGGAAUUACUGGGCGUAAAGCGCGCGUAGGCGGAUUGGAAAGUUGGGGGUGAAAUCCCGGGGCUCAACCCCGGAACUGCCUCCAAAACUUCCAGUCUGGAGUUCGAGAGAGGUGAGUGGAAUUCCGAGUGUAGAGGUGAAAUUCGUAGAUAUUCGGAGGAACACCAGUGGCGAAGGCGGCUCACUGGCUCGAUACUGACGCUGAGGUGCGAAAGUGUGGGGAGCAAACA
rnacentral:rRNA from 1 species